UGCUCUGCCCUCCACUCAUUCUGAGACC
rnacentral:piRNA from 1 species